rnacentral:lncRNA from 1 species
CAAAGAAGAUUGCUAUACGAACCUAUCACAGAGUUAAGAGGGAACCUGCCCUGUGGUCCAAGUUGAAAGUAGUGAAUUCCAUGAAAUCCUCAGUGGCAGAUUCAGGAAUUUGAAGUAGAAAAGAAGCCCAGGGAGGAAUCUCACAGAUGGAGGGACUAGAGCUGAGGAACUAACCUACCAGGAGUUCUUCACGCAAGGUGACCUGGAGAAAGCCAUUGGCAUCCCUCCAGUGGAGAUAUACGACAGAGAGAAGGCGUUUAUUCCUGAAUUGCAACUUAACUUUCUGAAUCACAUCGCAAGACCUGUAUAUCAGAUUCUUGCCGACAUAUUUCCUGAAGCACAAGUUCUUUUAAACACGGUGGAUGGUAACCGAAAUAUGUGGAUCAAGCUCUCCGAGACGAAAGCAAGCAAUGACGCCUCAAAGCAGCACAAUUCUCUUGAUUUCUUUGACAUGCAAUUCCAUAGUGAAACGCCCGCUUUGAUUCCAGAAGAAAACAAGGAAAGGAAAAAGCAAUUAAAUCCUCCGAAAGAUAGUGCCAUUCUGUGCUGUGGCUUCACACCCCAUUGGUUGAUGUAUACUCCCUUAGUUUACUGCCAUUCCAUGCUGUGGUUUUACCCACUUGAUGAAUGACUGAUGUAGGGUAAAAUGAUAUAGACAGGGCAAUGCUUGCUUUAUAACACAUGUUUAGAGCUUGUUAUUCACUUCCCCCAACAAUCGUCAGUUUAUGCGAUUCUACGGAGAACUCAACGCCAUGACGUGCACGCAAGGGAUUGUUUUUAAUGACUAUCCGUUCAAACUGCCAACGACAAUCAGCAGACGACGGCAUCGCUUCUUCUAGCCAUCCACAGAGAGUGGAGUUGGAUUCAUCGGCCGAUGGUCUUACAACUGCCGUACGACACAUCAAGUUUUAUAGGUAGCCAAUACCAUCAAGAUGUGUACAAAAUCCAGAGCACCAAAAUUCAGUGGACCUUUCUCAUUGGUCAGUUUGAUUGACGCCCUGGAAAGGCCCAUUAUCACUGUCUUAAGUAACCUAUCAAGUAAAAUGAUAAAACAUGGGAUUUAUAUAUGCACAGUUGUAUAUUGUUCAGUAAAAUGCAAGACAUAUAACAGUAAUAUGACAAAUUGUAUUUAUUUAGAUACACUGUAUUGGAUGUAUGUGAUUUGGGGUUUUGUUUGUACUGUUGCUGAUAAUAGUGAUGAUGAUGGUGGUGGUUAUGGUGGUGUUGAUUUCAUUAUUUUAUUUUUCAGUUCUUUCAUUUGUAUUUAUUUAGAUUUUAAAAAAAGAAUACCACACAGCCUGAUACACAGAUACAAAACUCAGUGAGCUGGAGGGGCAGAGCCUUCAAAUUGAAGUUAGCUGCUUAAUAAUAAGAAGUAAACACACUAUUCUAUUGGU